AUUGAACGCUGGCGGCAUGCCUUACACAUGCAAGUCGAACGGUAACAGGUUAAGCUGACGAGUGGCGAACGGGUGAGUAAUGUAUCGGAACGUGCCCAGUCGUGGGGGAUAACUGCUCGAAAGAGCAGCUAAUACCGCAUACGACCUGAGGGUGAAAGCGGGGGAUCGCAAGACCUCGCGCGAUUGGAGCGGCCGAUAUCAGAUUAGGUAGUUGGUGAGGUAAAGGCUAACCAAGCCGACGAUCUGUAGCUGGUCUGAGAGGACGACCAGCCACACUGGACUGAGACACGGCCCAGACUCCUACGGGAGGCAGCAGUGGGGAAUUUUGGACAAUGGGCGCAAGCCUGAUCCAGCCAUGCCGCGUGCGGGAAGAAGGCCUUCGGGUUGUAAACCGCUUUUGUCAGGGAAGAAAAGGUUCUGGCUAAUACCUGGGACUCAUGACGGUACCUGAAGAAUAAGCACCGGCUAACUACGUG
rnacentral:rRNA from 1 species